rnacentral:sRNA from 1 species
AAGCGACCAUUCGAAGCGCCGAACAACAGGGUAGAAAUUCGGCCGCGUAGGACACGCGUAAGACGGAGUCAGACGCCCCAGAGUCGCCCGGGCCUGCCCUAUGC